AACGUAGGUGGCGAGCGUUAUCCGGAUUUACUGGGCGUAAAGGGUGUGCAGGCGGGUCAUUAAGUGGUGUAUGAAAUCGCCCGGCUCAACCGGGCGAGGUUAUGCCAGACUGGUGGUCUAGAGAGCGAGAGAGGGACGUGGAAUUCCGGGUGUAGUGGUGAAAUGCGUAGAGAUCCGGAGGAACCCCAGAGGCGAAGGCGGCGAUCUGGGCAGAUACUGACGCUGAGGUGCGAAAGCGUGGGGGAGCAAACAGG
rnacentral:rRNA from 1 species